rnacentral:rRNA from 1 species
GACGAACGCUGGCGGCGUGCCUAAUACAUGCAAGUCGAACGGAGCGGCGGACGGGUGAGUAAUGCCUAGGAAUCUGCCUGGUAGUGGGGGAUAACGUCAGGAAACGGGCGCUAAUACUGCAUACUAUCAGAUGAGCCUAGGUCGGAUUAGCUAGUUGGUGGGGUAAAGGCCUACCAAGGCGACGAUCCGUAACUGGUCUGAGAGGCUGAUCAGUCACACUGGAACUGAGACACGGGCCAGACUCCUACGGGAGGCAGCAGUGGGGAAUAUUGAACAAUGGGCGAAAGCCUGAUCCAGCCAUGCCGCGGGUGUGAAGAAGGUCUUCGGAUUGUAAAGCACUUUAAGUUGGGAGGCGUUACCAACAGAAUAAGCACCGGCUAACUUCGUGCCAGCAGCCGCGGUAAUUC